rnacentral:rRNA from 1 species
GAUGAACGCUGGUGGCGUGCCUAAUACAUGCAAGUCGAACGCAUUGUGGUUGAAAUGAUAUGAAGAACUUGUUCAGAUUUGAUUUUCAACAUUGCAAUGAGUGGCGAACGGGUGAGUAACACGUGGGAAACCUACCUCUUAGCAGGGGAUAACAUUUGGAAACAAAUGCUAAUACCGUAUAAUAAUUAAAACCGCAUGGUUUUAGUUUAAAAGAUGGUCUUGCUAUCACUAAGAGAUGGUCCCGCGGUGUAUUAGUUAGUUGGUGAGGUAAUGGCUCACCAAGACAAUGAUACAUAGCCGAGUUGAGAGACUGACCGGCCACAAUGGGACUGAGACACGGCCCAUACUCCACGGGA